UGUUGCUUUGGCGGGCCCACCGGGGCCACCUGGUCGCCGGGGGACGCACGUCCCCGGGCCCGCGCCCGCCGAAGCGCUCUGUGAACCCUGAUGAAGAUGGGCUGUCUGAGUACGAUGAAAAUUGUCAAAACUUUCAACAAUGGAUCUCUUGGUUCCGGCAUCGAUGAAGAACGCAGCGAAAUGCGAUAAGUAAUGUGAAUUGCAGAAUUCCGUGAAUCAUCGAAUCUUUGAACGCACAUUGCGCCCCCUGGCAUUCCGGGGGGCAUGCCUGUCCGAGCGUCAUUUCUGCCCUCAAGCACGGCUUGUGUGUUGGGUGUGGUCCCCCCGGGGACCUGCCCGAAAGGCAGCGGCGACGUCCGUCUGGUCCUCGAGCGUAUGGGGCUCUGUCACUCGCUCGGGAAGGACCUGCGGGGGUUGGUCACCACCAUAUUUUACCACGGUUGACCUCGGAUCAGGUAGGAGUUACCCGCUGAACUUAA
rnacentral:rRNA from 1 species